GGUAAUACGGAGGGUGCAAGCGUUAAUCGGAAUUACUGGGCGUAAAGCGCACGCAGGCGGUUUGUUAAGUCAGAUGUGAAAUCCCCGCGCUUAACGUGGGAACUGCAUUUGAAACUGGCAAGCUAGAGUCUUGUAGAGGGGGGUAGAAUUCCAGGUGUAGCGGUGAAAUGCGUAGAGAUCUGGAGGAAUACCGGUGGCGAAGGCGGCCCCCUGGACAAAGACUGACGCUCAGGUGCGAAAGCGUGGGGAGCAAACAGGAUUAGAUACCCUGGUAGUCCACGCUGUAAACGAUGUCGACUUGGAGGUUGUGCCCUUGAGGCGUGGCUUCCGGAGCUAACGCGUUAAGUCGACCGCCUGGGGAGUACGGCCGCAAGGUUAAAACUCAAAU
rnacentral:rRNA from 1 species